CAGGCCUAACACAUGCAAGUCGAACGAAGGCUUCGGCCUUAGUGGCGCACGGGUGCGUAACGCGUGGGAAUCUGCCCCUUGGUUCGGAAUAACAGUUAGAAAUGACUGCUAAUACCGGAUAACGACGUAAGUCCAAAGAUUUAUCGCCGAGGGAUGAGCCCGCGUAGGAUUAGCUAGUUGGUGUGGUAAAGGCGCACCAAGGCGACGAUCCUUAGCUGGUCUGAGAGGAUGAUCAGCCACACUGGGACUGAGACACGGCCCAGACUCCUACGGGAGGCAGCAGUGGGGAAUAUUGGACAAUGGGCGAAAGCCUGAUCCAGCAAUGCCGCGUGGGUGAUGAAGGCCUUAGGGUUGUAAAGCUCUUUUACCCGGGAUGAUAAUGACAGUACCGGGAGAAUAAGCCCCGGCUAACUCCGUGCCAGCAGCCGCGGUAAU
rnacentral:rRNA from 1 species